rnacentral:rRNA from 1 species
GUACAUGGAUUGCUUGCAAUCUGAUGACGAGUGGCGCACGGGUGCGUAACGCGUAUGCAAUCUACCUUUUACAGGAGAAUAGCCCAGAGAAAUUUGGAAUAAUGCUCCAUAAUAUCAUUUAUCAGCAUUGGUUUAUGAUUAAAGCUCCGGCGGUAAAAGAUGAGCAUGCGUUCUAUUAGCUAGUAGGUGAGGUAACGGCUCACCUAGGCUACGAUAGAUAGGGGCCCUGAGAGGGGGAUCCCCCACACUGGUACUGAGACACGGACCAGACUCCUACGGGAGGCAGCAGUGAGGAAUAUUGGACAAUGGAGGAAACUCUGAUCCAGCCAUGCCGCGUGCAGGAUGACUGCCCUAUGGGUUGUAAACUGCUUUUAUAUAGGAAGAAACACUCCCACGUGUGGGGGCUUGACGGUACUAUAUGAAUAAGGAUCGGCUAACUCCGUGCCAGCAGCCGCGGUAAUACGGAGGAUCCAAGCGUUAUCCGGAAUCAUUGGGUUUAAAGGGUCCGCAGGCGGCCUGUUAAGUCAGAGGUGAAGUCCUACAGCUCAACUGUAGAACUGCCUUUGAUACUGAUAGGCUUGAGUUAUUGUGAAGUGGUUAGAAUGUGUGGUGUAGCGGUGAAAUGCUUAGAUAUCACACAGAAUACCCAUUGCGAAGGCAGAUCACUAACAAUAUACUGACGCUCAUGGACGAAAGCGUGGGGAGCGAACGGGAUUAGAUACCCCGGUGGUCCACGCCGUAAACGAUGGAUACUAACUGUUCGACCUUCCGGUUGAGUGGUCAAGCGAAAGUGAUAAGUAUCCCACCUGGGGGAGUA